CGCCUGCCCAGUGAAUAAUUAAACGGCCGCGGUACCCUAACCGUGCAAAGGUAGCGUAAUCAUUUGUCUAUUAAUUGUAGACCCGUAUGAAAGGCAUAAUGAGGGUUUAACUGUCUCUUUUAGUAAAUCAAUUAAACUGAUCUCCUAGUCCAAAAGCUAGGAUACCAACAUAAGACCAGAAGACCCUGUGAAACUUUAACUAAAAUAUUAAAACCCAUAAUAACUACUUUAGGUUGGGGCGACCUUGGAAAAUAAAAGAACUUCCAUACACAUGUUAUACUAAGCCUACAACGACCCAGCACAGCUGAUAAUUGAACCAAGCUACUCCAGGGAUAACAGCGCUAUCUUCUUCAAGAGCCCAUAUCAAAAAGAAGGUUUACGACCUCGAUGUUGGAUCAGGACAUCCUAAUGGUGCAACCGCUAUUAAGGGUUCGUUUGUUCAACGAUUAAUAGUCCUACGUGAUCUG
rnacentral:rRNA from 1 species